rnacentral:lncRNA from 1 species
UCAACAAAUAUAGACCAGUAUUACUAUGUUCUGAAUCCGCACUUGUCAUACUAGCUCCGCCUCUGCUCCUAAUUAAGUUCAUGCAUUUUUGUGGAGCCAACACAAUGUUCUAUAUGAGGAAGAUUCAAGUGGAUUUUGAUUUUGCAGCAAUCAAGAAGAUGUUUGGAAAGCUAAUACAAAUGCAAAUGGCUUGCUUUUCCAUCUCCUUAUUGGAUUCUAGAGUUCAGAUUUUGUUCUUUGUACUUAUUUUUCUGUUUUGCUGUGUAUUUGAUUUUUGAUUGUGGUGUUUUGCGGCGAAAGGCGGUGGUUUGAGGUGGUGGAAGUGAUGGUGAUAUUGGCG